GACGAACGCUGGCGGCGUGCCUAAUACAUGCAAGUAGAACGCUGAGGUUUGGUGUUUACACUAGACUGAUGAGUUGCGAACGGGUGAGUAACGCGUAGGUAACCUGCCUCAUAGCGGGGGAUAACUAUUGGAAACGAUAGCUAAUACCGCAUAAGAGUAAUUAACACAUGUUGGUUAUUUAAAAGGAGCAAUUGCUUCACUGUGAGAUGGACCUGCGUUGUAUUAGCUAGUUGGUGAGGUAAAGGCUCACCAAGGCGACGAUACAUAGCCGACCUGAGAGGGUGAUCGGCCACACUGGGACUGAGACACGGCCCAGACUCCUACGGGAGGCAGCAGUAGGGAAUCUUCGGCAAUGGACGGAAGUCUGACCGAGCAACGCCGCGUGAGUGAAGAAGGUUUUCGGAUCGUAAAGCUCUGUUGUUAGAGAAGAACGUUGGUAGGAGUGGAAAAUCUACCAAGUGACGGUAACUAACCAGAAAGGGACGGCUAACUACGUGCCAGCAGCCGCGGUAAUACGUAGGUCCCGAGCGUUGUCCGGAUUUAUUGGGCGUAAAGCGAGCGCAGGCGGUUCUUUAAGUCUGAAGUUAAAGGCAGUGGCUUAACCAUUGUACGCUUUGGAAACUGGAGGACUUGAGUGCAGAAGGGGAGAGUGGAAUUCCAUGUGUAGCGGUGAAAUGCGUAGAUAUAUGGAGGAACACCGGUGGCGAAAGCGGCUCUCUGGUCUGUAACUGACGCUGAGGCUCGAAAGCGUGGGGAGCAAACAUGAUUAGAUACCCUGGUAGUCCACGCCGUAAACGAUGAGUGCUAGGUGUUAGGCCCUUUCCGGGGCUUAGUGCCGCAGCUAACGCAUUAAGCACUCCGCCUGGGGAGUACGACCGCAAGGUUGAAACUCAAAGGAAUUGACGGGGGCCCGCACAAGCGGUGGAGCAUGUGGUUUAAUUCGAAGCAACGCGAAGAACCUUACCAGGUCUUGACAUCCUUCUGACCGGCCUAGAGAUAGGCUUUCUCUUCGGAGCAGAAGUGACAGGUGGUGCAUGGUUGUCGUCAGCUCGUGUCGUGAGAUGUUGGGUUAAGUCCCGCAACGAGCGCAACCCCUAUUGUUAGUUGCCAUCAUUAAGUUGGGCACUCUAGCGAGACUGCCGGUAAUAAACCGGAGGAAGGUGGGGAUGACGUCAAAUCAUCAUGCCCCUUAUGACCUGGGCUACACACGUGCUACAAUGGUUGGUACAACGAGUCGCAAGCCGGUGACGGCAAGCUAAUCUCUUAAAGCCAAUCUCAGUUCGGAUUGUAGGCUGCAACUCGCCUACAUGAAGUCGGAAUCGCUAGUAAUCGCGGAUCAGCACGCCGCGGUGAAUACGUUCCCGGGCCU
rnacentral:rRNA from 1 species